rnacentral:rRNA from 1 species
CCUACGGGAGGCAGCAGUGAGGAAUAUUGGUCAAUGGUCGGGAGACUGAACCAGCCAAGCUGCGUGAGGGAGGAAGGUACAGAGUAUCGUAAACCUCUUUUGUCAGGGAACAAAGGCGGGGACGUGUCCCCGGAUGAGUGUACCUGAAGAAAAAGCAUCGGCUAAACCCGUGCCAGCAGCCGCGGUAAUACGGAGGAUGCGAGUGUUAUCCGAAUUUAUUGGGUUAAAAGGGUGCGCAGGCGUUAUGGUAAGUCAGCGGUAAAAGCCCGGGGCUCAACCCAGGACCGCCGUUGAAACUGGCAGUCUCGAGUUGGAGAGAAGUAUGCGGAAUGCGCGGUGUAGCGGUGAAAUGCAUAGAUAUCGCGCAGAACUCCGAUUGCGAAGGCAGCAUGCCGGCUCCACACUGACGCUGAGGCACGAAAGCGUGGGUAUCGAACAGGAUUAGAUACCCGGGUAGUC